UUUACCUACGGGGGGCAGCAGUAGGGAAUCUUCCACAAUGGGCGCAAGCCUGAUGGAGCAACACCGCGUGAGUGAAGAAGGGUUUCGGCUCGUAAAGCUCUGUUGUUGGAGAAGAACGUGCGGGAGAGUAACUGUUCACGCAGUGACGGUAUCCAACCAGAAAGUCACGGCCAACUACGUGCCAGCAGCCGCGGGAAUACGGAGGUUGCAAGCGGUAUCCGGAUUUAUUGGGCGUAAAACGGGCGCAGGCGGUUGCUUUGGUCUG
rnacentral:rRNA from 1 species